GCUUUAGAAAGCUCGCUCAACGUCGUAAAGGGGCCGUGCCUGUCUGCCAGGUGGACACUAACCUCCCCACAACCAGCUUCCCGCACACACACAGCGCUCCAGCAGCAGGGAUAGGAGGGUUGACCAGGCAGCCAGGAGGGCUCAUAGCGUUGGAUCGGUGCUGCAAACCGCACGUUUGCUCUCACUAUCCAAACUGGAUUUCCUUAUAACCUGACGGCGUUAUUUUAUGCUGCAGGACCGGGGACGUUUCUUCUCACAGUAAAGCCAAGGGGUCAAAGGAUGGAGUCAAUACCUGCGGGAAGAGACUCCAGCUCCUCGCCCUCAUCCAAACAGGAGCUGUCCUACCCUAGCUCCAACCACCUCAAGCCCAACCAGGUCAGCGAGACGGUGCUGUACGGAAUACCCAUCGUGUCGCUGGUGAUCGACGGCCAGGAGAGACUGUGUCUGGCGCAGAUCUCCAACACGCUGUUGAAAAACUACAGCUACAACGAGAUCCACAACCGCCGCGUGGCCCUGGGCAUCACCUGCGUGCAGUGCACCCCGGUCCAGCUGGAGAUCCUGCGGCGCGCUGGGGCCAUGCCCAUCUCCUCCCGGCGCUGCGGGAUGAUCACCAAGCGCGAGGCCGAGAGACUCUGCAAGUCCUUUUUAGGGGCUCACUCGCCCCCCAAACUACCCGAGAAUUUUGCGUUCGACGUGUCCCACGAGUGCGCGUGGGGCAGCCGGGGAAGCUUCAUCCCGGCGAGGUACAACAGCUCCAGAGCCAAGUGCAUCAAGUGUUCGUAUUGCAAUAUGUAUUUCUCCCCAAACAAAUUCAUUUUCCAUUCGCACCGCACGCCCGAGUCAAAGUACACGCAACCCGACGCGGCCAACUUCAACUCCUGGAGGCGACACCUCAAAUUAACCGACAAGAAUUCCGCAGACGAGGUUGCCCAUGCGUGGGAAGACGUUAAGGCCAUGUUUAACGGGGGCAGCCGCAAAAGAACCCUGCCCAUGUCUGGCCCAGAACCCGGUUCGUCGCUAAAAUCCCACGGACCGCGUCUUUCUUCGAGCUCACCCGAGAUCCCUCCAAAGAUCCUACGCUCCGAUGACACCCGGGGCGGCAUGAACAUAACCACCGCGCGCAGCUACCCCGUGAUCCCGGUGCCCAGUAAGGGCUUCGGGAUGCUUCAGAAGAUCCCGCCACCCAUCUUCCCACACCCGUAUGGAUUCCCAGCCUUCGGCCUGUGUCAAAAGAAAGAGGACAGCCUACUGGGAGAGCAGGCCAAGCACAACCUAUCAGGCGUCCUUUGGCCCGGCACCAAGGAGAGCGCCUACCAUCCCUUCCCCAUGUUCUGGCCCACCGCGGGGAGCCUCCCCUUGCCGCCUUACCACCAGUCACCACACAAACCGCCCUCAGAACUUGUGUGCCCCCCUAGACCCAGUGACAUGGACUUAUCCGAGCACAGUGACCGAAGCACCAACACGUCGAAGGACAGCCUGAUCGACAGCGAGCGGUGCUCCAGCACGCAGUCCGCGCGUAACGACGAGGACAAGUCCGGAGACGAGGCGCGCACCAUGGACGGGAUGACCCUGGUGCCGAGGAAGAUCAACUAUGUCUCUGCGUUCAGACCCGUCAUCAAAGACCCUGAAAGCAUUGCGAAACUCUACGGAACGAGGGGAGGCUAUAACAGUUCGCGUAAGGGAUACCUGUCGCCAGAUUUUCUUAGCGAGAGCUCCAGCUACCGGUCCGCGUCUCCCUGCGUCGACAGCGACGGCGAGCCAGACGUGGACGUCGAGACGAAUAAUAAGUCACCGGAGGACGAAGACUCGCGGGGGGCGUCCUCCCUGUGUCUGCGCGCCCUGCCCGGCCAGAGCCUGGCGCACGGCCUGGCGCACGGCCUGGCGCACGGCCUCCUGACGAGCGACGCGGAGCCCAAAGCGGCCCCCCGCGGGGACACCCAGAGGAUGAGUGGACACGUAGCGCAGUCGUCGGAGAAAGAUGUCCAGAGCAAACCGUUACCAGAGAACCACGUAGCCACAUCUUACGCCGAGGUUUAUACUCCGGAGAGGGAGGAGGUAGGCCUACAAGGAAACAGCCCGUAUCACUUCAGACCUGCCAGCUAUCAGAGAGGACUUCUCACAUCAAACGACGAAGGCUCCAGUAAAGAAGAGCCAUCUUCCACCGUGGAGGAGGUGGAAUCCAAGUCCUUCAGUGAACCAACCAGCGAGGAAUCAGACGAGGGGAAAGAGGCCACCGCCAGGGCUCCCUCCGCACAGAAGGACCAGGAAACACAGGCAAAAGGUAAGACGAAGAACUUCAGAAACAACUUAUGGAGCAAGUUGAGCUGAGGAAGAAGCUUGAGCGGGAGUUUCAACAUCUUAAAGAUAAUUUCCAAGAUCAGAUGAAAAGGGAGCUAUCCUACAGAGAGGAGAUGGUGCAACAGCUGCAUAUCGUCAGAGAAGCUCACGACGCAUUACAUCAUUUCUCCUGCAAGAUGUUAACUCCACGUCACUGCGCGGGUACAUGUUCCUUCAAAUCACCCCUGUUGCCCCCGUGAACCCGGCAGUAGAACACCAAAUAGAAAAUAUUGAAACAAUGGACCUACAUUCUGUGUUGAAAAAAUCAAGAAACAUUGGGAGGGAAAACAAGCUUGACAGAAGCCCUCUGUUGUGACUGUUUGUGUUGUAACUGAUUGGAGCAUAUUGGAUUGUGUAAUGUAUCGGUCAGAAUCUUCCCCUUCAUGAGGUAUUAUUUUGUUGUAAUUUAAUAUACCAUUUGUUGAUUAUAUUUAUUUUGAGGCAAAGUGCAAUGACAUUAUAUGUAACCAGUCAUGAUGAUGAUGAUGAUGAUUAUUAUUAUUAUUAUUAUAGAGGUAUAGAAUGUAGAGCCUAUCAAGUAUUGUGAAUUCUCCUCUUACUUUUGUUGUCCUUUUCAUCUUUAUAAUACACAUAUUUUGAAUGUUAUGCACUUUAAACGAGUGAUGAAAAUAAUGAUAACCUACGUUUGUAAAUAAGCGUACAUAUGUGAUGAACAUACAUUUUUACAACGCGCGAAAAAGGGUUUGCUCUUAUAUUGUAAACACCAAAUUGUCUAAAUGAUCUGCUAAUUGCGAUGAUCACCAACUGAUUCUUCCUAAAGUAGCCCUUUGGUUCGUAUAGAUAUGUUUUGACAACUAAUGAAAUUUUGAUUUUAAUAAAACAAAUCUAUAUGUUA